rnacentral:rRNA from 1 species
GACGAACGCUGGCGGCGUGCUUAACACAUGCAAGUCGAGUGGAAAGGCCACUUCGGUGGUACUCGAGCGGCGAACGGGAGAGUAACACGUGAGUAAUCUGCCCCUGGCUUUGGGAUAGCCACCGGAAACGGUGAUUAAUACCGGAUACGACCAGUUCUCGCAUGGGAUGGUGGUGGAAAGUUUUUUCGGCUAGGGAGGUGCUCGCGGCCUAGCAGCUUGAUGGUGAGGUAAUGGCUCACCAUGGCUUCGACGGGUAGCCGGCCUGAGGGGGUGACCGGUCACACUGGGACUGAGACACGGCCCAGACUCCUACGGGAGGCAGCAGUGGGGAAUAUUGGACAAUGGGCGGAAGCCUGAUCCAGCAACGCCGCGUGAGGGAUGACGGCCUUCGGGUUGUAAACCUCUUUCAGCAGGGACGAAGCGCAAGUGACGGUACCUGCAGAAGAAGCACCGGCCAACUACGUGCCAGCAGCCGCCGCAG